rnacentral:rRNA from 1 species
AGUGAACGCUGGCGGUAGGCCUAACACAUGCAAGUCGAACGGCAGCACAGUAAGAGCUUGCUCUUACGGGUGGCGAGUGGCGGACGGGUGAGGAAUACAUCGGAAUCUACUUUUUCGUGGGGGAUAACGUAGGGAAACUUACGCUAAUACCGCAUACGACCUACGGGUGAAAGCAGGGGAUCUUCGGACCUUGCGCGAUUGAAUGAGCCGAUGUCGGAUUAGCUAGUUGGCGGGGUAAAGGCCCACCAAGGCGACGAUCCGUAGCUGGACUGAGAGGAUGAUCAGCCACACUAGAACUGAGACACGGUCCAGACUCCUACGGGAGGCAGCAGUGGGGAAUAUUGGACAAUGGGCGCAAGCCUGAUCCAGCCAUACCGCGUGGGUGAAGAAGGCCUUCGGGUUGUAAAGCCCUUUUGUUGGGAAAGAAAAGCAGCAGGUUAAUACCCCGCUGUUCUGACGGUACCCAAAGAAUAAGCACCGGCUAACUUCGUG